CCCUUAGACGUUCUGGGCCGCACGCGCGCUACACUGACCAGUGCAACAAGCAUCCGUCCUUGGCCGACAGGCUCGGGCAAUCUUUGAACGCUGGUCGUGAUGGGGAUAGACUUUUGCAAUUAUUAAUCUUGAACGAGGAAUUCCUAGUAAACGCAGAUCAUCAAUCUGCAUUGAUUACGUCCCUGCCCUUUGUACACACCGCCCGUCGCACCUACCGAUUGGAUGGUCCGGUGAAGCCUCGGGAUUGUGGCGGUUGCCUUUAUUGGUGGCCGCCGCGAGAACUUGUCUAAACCUUAUCAUCUAGAGGAAGGUGAAGUCGUAACA
rnacentral:rRNA from 1 species